GGGUUGUGAGGUUAAGCGACUAAGCGUACACGGUGGAUGCCCUGGCAGUCAGAGGCGAUGAAGGGCGUGCUAAUCUGCGAUAAGCGCCGGUAAGGUGAUAUGAACCGUUAUAACCGGCGAUACCCGAAUGGGGAAACCCAGUGUGAUUCGUCACACUAUCAUUAACUGAAUCCAUAGGUUAAUGAGGCGAACCGGGGGAACUGAAACAUCUAAGUACCCCGAGGAAAAGAAAUCAACCGAGAUUCCCCCAGUAGCGGCGAGCGAACGGGGAGGAGCCCAGAGCCUGAAUCAGCAUGUGUGUUAGUGGAAGCGUCUGGAAAGGCGCGCGAUACAGGGUGACAGCCCCGUACACAAAAGCGCAUGUGCUGUGAGCUCGAUGAGUAGGGCGGGACACGUGGUAUCCUGUCUGAAUAUGGGGGGACCAUCCUCCAAGGCUAAAUACUCCUGACUGACCGAUAGUGAACCAGUACCGUGAGGGAAAGGCGAAAAGAACCCCGGCGAGGGGAGUGAAAAAGAACCUGAAACCGUGUACGUACAAGCAGUGGGAGCNNNNNNNNNNNNNNNNNNNNNNNNNNNNNNNNNNNNNNNNNNNNNNNGGGCGUUAAGUUGCAGGGUAUAGACCCGAAACCCGGUGAUCUAGCCAUGGGCAGGUUGAAGGUUGGGUAACACUAACUGGAGGACCGAACCGACUAAUGUUGAAAAAUUAGCGGAUGACCUGUGGCUGGGGGUGAAAGGCCAAUCAAACCGGGAGAUAGCUGGUUCUCCCCGAAAGCUAUUUAGGUAGCGCCUCGUGAAUUCAUCUCCGGGGGUAGAGCACUGUUUCGGCUAGGGGGCCAUCCCGGCUUACCAACCCGAUGCAAACUGCGAAUACCGGAGAAUGUUAUCACGGGAGACACACGGCGGGUGCUAACGUCCGUCGUGAAGAGGGAAACAACCCAGACCGCCAGCUAAGGUCCCAAAGUCAUGGUUAAGUGGGAAACGAUGUGGGAAGGCCCAGACAGCCAGGAUGUUGGCUUAGAAGCAGCCAUCAUUUAAAGAAAGCGUAAUAGCUCACUGGUCGAGUCGGCCUGCGCGGAAGAUGUAACGGGGCUAAACCAUGCACCGAAGCUGCGGCAGCGACACUGUGUGUUGUUGGGUAGGGGAGCGUUCUGUAAGCCUGCGAAGGUGGCCUGUGAGGGUUGCUGGAGGUAUCAGAAGUGCGAAUGCUGACAUAAGUAACGAUAAAGCGGGUGAAAAGCCCGCUCGCCGGAAGACCAAGGGUUCCUGUCCAACGUUAAUCGGGGCAGGGUGAGUCGACCCCUAAGGCGAGGCCGAAAGGCGUAGUCGAUGGGAAACGGGUUAAUAUUCCCGUACUUGGUGUUACUGCGAAGGGGGGACGGAGAAGGCUAUGUUGGCCGGGCGACGGUUGUCCCGGUUUAAGCGUGUAGGUGUGUGUUCCAGGUAAAUCCGGUUCACUUUAACACUGAGGCGUGACGACGAGGCACUACGGUGCUGAAGCAACAAAUGCCCUGCUUCCAGGAAAAGCCUCUAAGCAUCAGGUAACAUCAAAUCGUACCCCAAACCGACACAGGUGGUCAGGUAGAGAAUACCAAGGCGCUUGAGAGAACUCGGGUGAAGGAACUAGGCAAAAUGGUGCCGUAACUUCGGGAGAAGGCACGCUGACACGUAGGUGAAGUGAUUUACUCAUGGAGCUGAAGUCAGUCGAAGAUACCAGCUGGCUGCAACUGUUUAUUAAAAACACAGCACUGUGCAAACACGAAAGUGGACGUAUACGGUGUGACGCCUGCCCGGUGCCGGAAGGUUAAUUGAUGGGGUCAGCGCAAGCGAAGCUCCUGAUCGAAGCCCCGGUAAACGGCGGCCGUAACUAUAACGGUCCUAAGGUAGCGAAAUUCCUUGUCGGGUAAGUUCCGACCUGCACGAAUGGCGUAAUGAUGGCCAGGCUGUCUCCACCCGAGACUCAGUGAAAUUGAACUCGCUGUGAAGAUGCAGUGUACCCGCGGCAAGACGGAAAGACCCCGUGAACCUUUACUAUAGCUUGACACUGAACAUUGAGCCUUGAUGUGUAGGAUAGGUGGGAGGCUUUGAAGUGUGGACGCCAGUCUGCAUGGAGCCGACCUUGAAAUACCACCCUUUAAUGUUUGAUGUUCUAACGUGGACCCGUUACCCGGGUUGCGGACAGUGUCUGGUGGGUAGUUUGACUGGGGCGGUCUCCUCCUAAAGAGUAACGGAGGAGCACGAAGGUUGGCUAAUCCUGGUCGGACAUCAGGAGGUUAGUGCAAUGGCAUAAGCCAGCUUGACUGCGAGCGUGACGGCGCGAGCAGGUGCGAAAGCAGGUCAUAGUGAUCCGGUGGUUCUGAAUGGAAGGGCCAUCGCUCAACGGAUAAAAGGUACUCCGGGGAUAACAGGCUGAUACCGCCCAAGAGUUCAUAUCGACGGCGGUGUUUGGCACCUCGAUGUCGGCUCAUCACAUCCUGGGGCUGAAGUAGGUCCCAAGGGUAUGGCUGUUCGCCAUUUAAAGUGGUACGCGAGCUGGGUUUAGAACGUCGUGAGACAGUUCGGUCCCUAUCUGCCGUGGGCGCUGGAGAACUGAGGGGGGCUGCUCCUAGUACGAGAGGACCGGAGUGGACGCAUCACUGGUGUUCGGGUUGUCAUGCCAAUGGCACUGCCCGGUAGCUAAAUGCGGAAGAGAUAAGUGCUGAAAGCAUCUAAGCACGAAACUUGCCCCGAGAUGAGUUCUCCCUGAGACUUAGAGUCUCCUGAAGGAACGUUGAAGACGACGACGUUGAUAGGCCGGGUGUGUAAGCGCAGCGAUGCGUUGAGCUAACCGGUACUAAUGAACCGUGAGGCUUAACCUUACAACGCCGAAG
rnacentral:rRNA from 1 species